GCCUUCGUGGUGUAGUGGUCAGCACGCUCGACGCGUAACCGAGAGGUCCAUGGUUCGAUUCCUGGUGAAAACG
rnacentral:tRNA from 1 species